UUACUAAUAACUUAUAGUUUCGCAAGAGACUUUGAGCUGUAAUGCAUUUCUCUCUUUUGUUGGAACUGGAUUGGACAAAAAAGAACUGUAUGAUGUAAACGACCUAGCAGUUAUAACUGGAUGCGAAUUUACUGAUAAAUUCAGUAGAAAUACGACGCAUGUUAUCAUAAACACUGAUGAUGAACUAGUA